rnacentral:lncRNA from 1 species
ACACGUGGCUGCCGACGAAGCCCGUCGCGCCGGUGACGAGGACGGAGAUGCCGCCGGAGCGGUGGAUCUGAGCGGAGGUUCGGACUUGUUUCUCCCACUGGAUGCCGCCCCAGGAGGCGGUGAGGUAGCGGCUGCCGGAGUCGACGAAGCUCUGGAAGCUAAGGUAGGAGGCGGUGAGGGCGAUGAGGAAGAGGGCCCAGAGGAACAUGGUGCUUGUUGACGCGAAACAGCGGUUUAGCUGUCGGUUUGAACGGUCGAUCUUGAACUUACCAGGCGUUGACGGGAACAUGAGCUCAUCUUCUA